ACUUUGUUAGUAUAUUAACGUACAUUUACCUUCCAAGUAAAAAGACUAACUUAGACAAAGUA
rnacentral:tRNA from 1 species